UUUUAGGGACAAGCUGGCAGCCCAGCAUUUGUACUGAAUGUUCCGGGUCGGCCUGGCCUGCGCCUGGUGCACCAGUGGGAACCCCAUAAGGCUGGGCGUGGGGGAGCGAAUUGCUUCUGAGGUUUGCUGACAUUCUGUUUGGCUUCCUGAAAUGCUUUCUCUUCAUUCAAAGAGCAGCUGCUGGUCUCCGCCCCUCUGUCUUUCCUUCCUCCUCCCAGUGGCUUCCCUGUUCCUGCUAUCCUGGCUUUCCUGGCUUUUUUGAUCCUCAUCCUGGCUCUGGGGGUAAGGAGGAUGGGUCUGGAGCACCUGUGAGACCCAAGCCUGGGCCCCCCACCACAGAGGAUGCAGCCUCCCAACCCCAAGAGCCCAAGAUUGGAGGCCCUGAGCAGAAGCUGGGCUGUGCGAGAAUGAACUAAUACAGAGGACGAGGACACAGAAGCACAGAGAAGGUUGCAUGCACCAGGAUGCAGCACAGAGAGCCCACGACCGUGCCGUGUCACUGCUGUGACAGGUUGGUGCUGCUGGAGACGUGGAAUGAGCAUAGAGGGGACUGAAGGUGAAACAGAGACUCAGGUCCUGAUGAUGUUGCUGCAUACACACCACCCCCAUGUAGACACUGGGAACAACCAUCGUUUUAUUGUAUCACCUAAUUGUGCGGAUCAGGAAUUUGAACAGUUGUUCCCUGCCCCACAGAGCUGAUGGAGGUUACUUGUGAUACCACAUCUGGCACAUGGGUUGUUCGGGGAAGUCCAAGACAGAUUCACUCACAUGCUGGGACCUUUAUGGGGGUGGCCAAGAGGCUGAGCUUGGCAGGGGCCAUUGACCAGAGAACCCACACGUGUCUCCAUCUCAAUUGUCUUGGGGUCUGUGGACUUUCUCCCAGAGGGAGAAGGUUGCAAGAGAGGAGGUAGAAGCUGCCAGGCUUCUGUGAGUGAGCCUCCAAUGUGCGUCUCUCCUGGUACGUCCCCUGGAAAAGUCAAUGGAACUAGCCCAGAUUCAUGGGACUGGGAACUGGCUCCACUUCUCCAUGAGAGCAGGAGCAGAGGCUUUGCAGCCAACCUUCAUCUGUACAGACUGACGGGCCCUGAGAUGAGUGCAGUGUGCCGUGGAGAAGGGAGAACCAGCCCUUCCCGUGAGGAGGCAGGGCUGAGCCUAUGUGCUUGCUUCUCUGCCACGCCCCUCCGCACUGCUCUGUGGCCUCUCUGCCAACUCCAUGCCCCUUGAGGCUGGCCCUUAGCAACAGCAUCUUCCUCUCCCUUGCUCUUCACCCCUGCCCCUAGGCCACGCCUGCUGCACUGCCCUUGUGCACACCUCCCUUCAUGAGUCCCUCUUCUGUUAACCCUGUACCCGUGCCAUCUGUUUUCCACAUGGGCCUGACCCCAAAGGCAUAUUCAAAAAGAAUUAAUCAUAUUUUUACGAUAACAAAAUGAUAAAAAUUACAUGAUCAAUUUGUAAUAAAAUGAUACAUGCUAAAAGUAACUUGGAAGAUUUUCCUUCUUUGGAGUGUCUGAGGGGUUAUCAAGGCCCUUCUGGAACUGACAAUAUGCAGAAGUGUUUGCUCCACCUUACGGAUACCAGGCGCGGGAGAACCCCUAAUCUCCAGCAGGAGAUCACACGUCUGCCCUGCUGCCCAGGUAGCGUGAGGCACUCGGCUCGGCUUGUCUCCU